GUGCCUAAUACAUGCAAGUCGAGCGGACAGAAGGGAGCUUGCUCCCGGAUGUUAGCGGCGGACGGGUGAGUAACACGUGGGUAACCUGCCUGUAAGACUGGGAUAACUCCGGGAAACCGGAGCUAAUACCGGAUAGUUCCUUGAACCGCAUGGUUCAAGGAUGAAAGACGGUUUCGGCUGUCACUUACAGAUGGACCCGCGGCGCAUUAGCUAGUUGGUGGGGUAAUGGCUCACCAAGGCGACGAUGCGUAGCCGACCUGAGAGGGUGAUCGGCCACACUGGGACUGAGACACGGCCCAGACUCCUACGGGAGGCAGCAGUAGGGAAUCUUCCGCAAUGGACGAAAGUCUGACGGAGCAACGCCGCGUGAGUGAUGAAGGUUUUCGGAUCGUAAAGCUCUGUUGUUAGGGAAGAACAAGUGCGAGAGUAACUGCUCGCACCUUGACGGUACCUAACCAGAAAGCCACGGCUAACUACGUGCCAGCAGCCGCGGUAAUACGUAGGUGGCAAGCGUUGUCCGGAAUUAUUGGGCGUAAAGGGCUCGCAGGCGGUUUCUUAAGUCUGAUGUGAAAGCCCCCGGCUCAACCGGGGARGGUCAUUGGAAACUGGGAAACUUGAGUGCAGAAGAGNANAGUGGAAUUCCACGUGUAGCGGUGAAAUGCGUAGAGAUGUGGAGGAACACCAGUGGCGAAGGCGACUCUCUGKUCUGUAACUGACGCUGAGGAGCGAAAGCGUGGGGAGCGAACAGGAUUAGAUACCCUGGUAGUCCACGCCGUAAACGAUGAGUGCUAAGUGUUAGGGGGUUUCCGCCCCUUAGUGCUGCAGCUAACGCAUUAAGCACUCCGCCUGGGGAGUACGGUCGCAAGACUGAAACUCAAAGGAAUUGACGGGGGCCCGCACAAGCGGUGGAGCAUGUGGUUUAAUUCGAAGCAACGCGAAGAACCUUACCAGGUCUUGACAUCCUCUGACAACCCUAGAGAUAGGGCUUUCCCUUCGGGGACAGAGUGACAGGUGGUGCAUGGUUGUCGUCAGCUCGUGUCGUGAGAUGUUGGGUUAAGUCCCGCAACGAGCGCAACCCUUGAUCUUAGUUGCCAGCAUUUAGUUGGGCACUCUAAGGUGACUGCCGGUGACAAACCGGAGGAAGGUGGGGAUGACGUCAAAUCAUCAUGCCCCUUAUGACCUGGGCUACACAACGUGCUACAAUGGACAGAACAAAGGGCUGCGAGACCGCAAGGUUUAGCCAAUCCCAUAMAUCUGUUCUCAGUUCGGAUCGCAGUCUGCCACUCGACUKCGUGAAGCUGGMAUCGCUAGUAAUCGCGSAUCAGYCAUGCCGC
rnacentral:rRNA from 1 species